ACGUCGUUAGGCUUUUCCAUAUGGUCCUACGAUGUCUUUCCCUGCUUAGAUUUCAAAAAUGUCGACCACUUCCUUUUAUUUUUAUGCCAUUUUUUAGUAAUUUUUUUUUUUCUUUUUCUUUUCAGUGCGUUUUUAUUUUAAAGUCCCAAUAAACAGAGGAUGUUAUCUUUCUGGUCUCCAACGGAAGGAAAGUGAGAGAAAAAAGACUAAAAGAAAAAUAAAUAAAAAAUAAAUAAAAAAAACCUUUCCCUUUUACCAAACAAAAGAAAGAAAACGAAAACAAAGUUAAAGUGAGAAUUUUUAUUUGGAUUCCUCCAUUUUGAUCCUUAUGCCUCUGAAGCUCUCUGCUGUCAGCUUGUAAUCUGUGAUUUGGGUCUUGCAGAUUUAAGCCAGAAGUGAAGUGGGUCUCUCCCUUUUUCCUCUCUAUCUCUCUUGUUUGGUUAUGGUAUUUUGGCAUUUUAUGAGGAGAUUGGGUGGGCUAUAAUGUGGGUUUGGUCAAGUUUCUGGUAGAGAUCUUACGUAACCGUUGGUGGGUGUUUGGUCUUUUCUGGUUUUAGUGCUUUAUUUAUUGAAGAUACUAUUGAUAUUUUGUUGUAAAGCUAAAAAGCAUGAUUACGGGUUCUAGUUGUUCAUUUCUUUGAACUGAAAUGAAUAUACAUGUAUGACAGUUUAAAAAAAAAAUUUUUUUUUUCUUUUUUUAUAAAAUUACUUUUAUUGUAAAUUUAGGUGUGUAUGAACUUAUUGAAAGAAGCCCAUAUAGGUGAUGUGAGUAUUCAUAUAUUGGUUUGUAAUUUUCAAACCUCUUUCGGGGGAAAUUGUGUUCCUGACUGGAAAUCUGUCAUCUUAUAGCAGUGAUUUGGUAUCAGAGGGGACUAUUUUGUUUUUUGGGUAUUUGAUUUUACUUUUCCUUUUUCCCAAUUUUUUGUUUGUGUUUUGAAUUUUUGAGAGAAAAACCCAUCAGGCUGCUGUGGAGAUCUGGGAGUUGUUUCAUCUCUUAUGCCCCAUGAGGACUUUCUUUCCCUCCGAGUCCUGUAAAGAAACACAGCUUAGUGCUCUCAAUCCACAGUCUUGGCUACAGGUUGAAAGAGGAAAGCUUUCUAAAAUUGCAUCUCACUCCUCUUCUUCUUCUUCCUCAUCCAUAGAAUCUCUCAUCAAGGUCCCUGAGCCACCAAUACUACCAUUCUUUAAACCUGUUGAUUAUGUAGAAGUUUUAGCUCAAAUCCAUGAAGAACUUGAGUCGUGUCCUCCACAAGACCGGUCAAAGCUCUAUUUGUUACAAUUCCAGGUCUUUAGGGGCCUUGGAGAAGGAAAACUGAUGCGGAGAAGCCUACGUUCUGCUUGGCAGAAGGCUAGCACCGUACAUGAGAAGCUCGUUUUUGGAGCAUGGUUGAAGUAUGAGAAGCAAGGAGAAGAGCUUAUAGCUGACUUGCUUGCCAAUUGUGGCAAAUGUGCGCAAGAGUUUGGGCCAGUAGACAUUUCGGGUCAGCUUCCACUUCAAUUGAGUGUCAGUUCCUAUGAGACUGUUUCGAUGAAUGGGAACCAAAUCUUAAAAAAUGUUAUUUUUAGAAUUGGAGAUGAUAAAAUAGUAUGUGAUAGGCAGAAAAUAUCAAGCCUUGCAGCUCCAUUCCAUGCCAUGCUUAAUGGGUGUUUCUCUGAAUCACUUUGUGAGGACAUAGAUUUGUCUGAAAACAAUAUCUCUGCAUCAGGUAUGAGGGCAAUCGAUGAGUUCAGCAAGACUGGUAGUUUGAGUGAAGUCUCUCCAAAUCUUUUGCUGGAAAUAUUAGUUUUCGCAAACAAGUUUUGUUGUGAAAGGCUCAGAGAUGCUUGUGAUAGGAAACUCGCGUCUUUAGUUUCUUCUAGAGAUGAUGCCGUGGAACUCAUGGAAUAUGCUCUUGAAGAGAACUGUCGUGUCCUUGCUGCAUCAUGUUUACAAGCUUUUUUAAAUGACCUUCCUGAUUGUUUAAAUGACAAUCGAGUGGUGGAAAUAUUCAGGCAUGCUGACAGACAGCAAAGAUUGAUCAUGGUUGGGCCGGCUUCAUAUUCACUCUAUUGUUUAUUAAGUGAAGUUGCCAUGAACCUUGAUCCUCAAUCUGAUACAACAGCUUGUUUCCUGGAACAGUUAGUAGAAUUUGCUGAAAAUGACCAGCAGAGACAAUUGGCUUUUCAUCAAUUGGGAUGUGUAAGGCUCUUGAGAAGAGAAUAUGAAGAAGCAGAACGACUUUUUGAAGCAUCUUUAAAUGCAGGCCAUAUUUACUCUGUUGUAGGUUUAGCUAGACUGGGCUACAUUAAAGGUCAUAAGCUUUGGUCAUAUGAGAAGCUCAGCUCUGUAAUUUCCACUAUCUCCCCACUUGGAUGGAUGUAUCAAGAGAGGUCAUUAUACCAUGAAGGCGAUCAGAGGUGGGAAGACCUUGAGAAAGCGACUGAGUUAGAUCCAACUCUUACUUACCCUUACAUGUAUCGUGCAGCUUCCUUAAUGCUGAAAGAGAAUGUUCAAGCUGCGCUUGCAGAAAUUAACCGGGUUCUUGGGUUUAAACUUGCAUUAGAAUGCUUGGAACUUCGGUUUUGUUUUUAUCUUGCUCUUGAGGAUUAUCAAUCAGCCAUUUGUGAUGUUCAAGCUAUCCUUACUCUCUCCCCAGACUAUAGGAUGUUUGAGGGACGGGUAGCAGCAUCCCAAUUUCGUACUCUAGUUCGUGAGCAUGUUGAGAAUUGGACAACUGCAGAUUGUUGGCUGCAAUUAUAUGAUCGAUGGUCUUCUGUGGAUGACAUUGGUUCUCUCUCUGUUAUUUAUCAAAUGCUUGAAUCGGAUGCAGCAAAAGGUGUUCUAUACUUUAGACAGUCAUUGCUUCUCCUCAGGUUAAACUGUCCAGAAGCAGCCAUGAGGAGUUUGCAAUUAGCUCGCCAACAUGCAUCUAGUGAACAUGAACGGCUGGUCUAUGAGGGUUGGAUCUUAUACGAUACAGGUCAUUGUGAGGAGGGGCUCCAAAAAGCUGAGGAUUCUAUUAAGAUCAAGAGAUCCUUUGAGGCUUUCUUUCUCAAAGCAUAUGCACUUGCUGACUCUAGCCAAGACCCAUCUUGUUCUUCAACUGUUGUUUCUCUUCUUGAAGAUGCCCUGAAGUGCCCCUCAGACAGGCUGCGGAAAGGUCAGGCACUGAACAAUCUUGGAAGUGUUUAUGUUGACUGCCAGAGGCUAGACCUGGCAGCUGAUUGCUACAUAAAUGCUCUUAAAAUCCGGCAUACCCGAGCCCACCAGGGCCUCGCACGGGUUCAUUUUCUGAGAAACGAUAAGACUGCAGCAUAUGAUGAAAUGACGAAACUAAUAGAGAAGGCCAGGAAUAAUGCUUCUGCCUACGAGAAAAGGUCUGAAUAUUGUGACCGUGAACUCACAAAGGCAGAUCUGGAAAUGGUCACUCGAUUAGAUCCACUUCGUGUUUAUCCCUACAGAUAUAGAGCAGCAGGUUAGACUUUGUUUUCUUCUUCUAACUCCUUCUCUCUGAAUAUAAUGCUGCUUGAUGUUUGGGGAAUUAAAAGAUUCCAAAACAUUUUAUUAAUGACGAACAAUGUUGUUGUAGGUGCCUACUGUGUUAAGUAGCAAUAGUGACUUAAUCACUAUACCAACCAUAAUUGAUGGCGAUCUUUGCUGCUAGAGUGUCCAUCUUUUACUAAACUCAUAUUUAGGAUGUGUAUCUGGAUGUGACCUUUAUGACCCACCUUUUGUUGCUCCUCGUCUUAGCAUUGUGAGCUUUUUCCUGAGUUUUUUGUGUGAAAGGGCAGAACCAGCUAUGUUUCACUGUUGUGUUAGUGGCAAGAUCUUAUAGGGAAGAAAGAACUUCUAAUCAUUAUAGAUUUCAGAUUAGAGAGCAGUAAUUCCCAUAAGCAUCAUGAUGUUUAUUUUUCCUUUUUAACUGUAUUCUUUUUGUAAAAUUAUUACAACUCUUCCUGGUUAGAUCCGUACA